UACAUGUGGGGCAAGCGUUGUUCGGAAUUACUGGGCAUAAAGGGUGCGUAGGCGGCUUGAUAAGUCAGUGGUGAAAUCCGGUGGCCCAACCAUCGAACUGCCAUUGAUACUGUCGAGCUUGAGUGCGUGAGGGGUGACUGGAACGGGUGGUGUAGCGGUGAAAUGCGUAGAUAUCACCCGGAAGGCCAAAGGCGAAGGCAGGUCACUGGUACGCAACUGACGCUGAGGCACGAAAGCGUGGGGAGCAAACAGG
rnacentral:rRNA from 1 species